UGCAAGUCGAACGCACUUUCGUUGAAUGAAUUAGAGGUGCUUGCACCGAAGAUGAUUUUAGCUAUAAAGUGAGUGGCGAACGGGUGAGUAACACGUGGGUAACCUGCCCAGAAGUGGGGGAUAACACCUGGAAACAGAUGCUAAUACCGCAUAACAAAGUAAACCGCAUGGUUUACUUUUAAAAGAUGGCUUCGGCUAUCACUUCUGGAUGGACCCGCGGCGUAUUAGCUAGUUGGUGAGAUAAAGGCUCACCAAGGCAGUGAUACGUAGCCGACCUGAGAGGGUAAUCGGCCACAUUGGGACUGAGACACGGCCCAGACUCCUACGGGAGGCAGCAGUAGGGAAUCUUCCACAAUGGACGAAAGUCUGAUGGAGCAACGCCGCGUGAGUGAUGAAGGCUUUAGGGUCGUAAAACUCUGUUGUUGGAGAAGAACGUGUGUGAGAGUAACUGCUCAUGCAGUGACGGUAUCCAACCAGAAAGCCACGGCUAACUACGUGCCAGCAGCCGCGGUAAUACGUAGGUGGCAAGCGUUAUCCGGAUUUAUUGGGCGUAAAGCGAGCGCAGGCGGUCUUUUAAGUCUAAUGUGAAAGCCUUCGGCUUAACCGAAGAAGUGCAUUGGAAACUGGAAGACUUGAGUGCAGAAGAGGACAGUGGAACUCCAUGUGUAGCGGUGAAAUGCGUAGAUAUAUGGAAGAACACCAGUGGCGAAGGCGGCUGUCUGGUCUGUAACUGACGCUGAG
rnacentral:rRNA from 1 species